rnacentral:misc_RNA from 1 species
GAUGAAGAACGCAGCGAAAUGCGAUAAGUAAUGUGAAUCGCAGAAUUCAGUGAAUCAUCGAAUCUUUGAACGCACAUUGCGCCCCCUGGUAUUCCGGGGGGCAUGCCUGUCCGAGCGUCAUUACAACCCUCAAGCUCAGCUUGGUAUUGGGCCCCGCCGACCCGGCGGGCCCUAAAGUCAGUGGCGGUGCCGUCCGGCUCCGAGCGUAGUAAUUCUUCUCGCUCUGGAGGUCCGGUCGUGUGCUCGCCAGCAACCCCCAAUUUUUUUCAGGUUGACCUCGGAUCAGGUAGGGAUACCCGCUGAACUUAAGCAUAUCAAUAAGCGGAGGA